rnacentral:rRNA from 1 species
CCUACGGGAGGCAGCAGUGAGGAAUAUUGGUCAAUGGGCGCGAGCCUGAACCAGCCAAGUAGCGUGAAGGAUGACUGCCCUACGGGUUUUCAACUUCUUUUAUAAGGGAAUAAAGUGCGGCACGUGUGCCGUUUUGUAUGUAUUUUAUGAAUAAGGAUCGGCUUAUUCCGUGCCAGCAGCCGCGGUAAUACGGAGGAUGCGAGCGUUAUUCGGAUUUAUUGGGUUUAAAGGGAGCGUAGAUGGGUUGGUAAGUCAGUUGUGAAAGGUUGGGGCUAAACCGUAACAUUGCUAUUGAUACUGGGCGCCUUGAGUACAGUCGAGGUAGGCGGAAUUCGUGGUGUAGCGGUGAAAUGCUUAGAUAUCACGAAGAACUCCGAUUGCGAAGGCAGUUUACUAAACUGCCACUGACAUUGAUGCUCGAAAGUGUGGGUAUCAAACAGGAUUAGAUACCCCUGUAGUC